GUUGGUUGGUGGUUACAGGUGGUGGCAUGGUUGUCGUCAGCUCGUGUCGUGAGAUGUUGGGUUAAGUCCCGCAACGAAGCGCAACCCUUGUCUUAUGUUGCCAGCACGUGAUGGUGGGGACGUCAUGAGAGACUGCCGGGGUUAACUCGGAGGAAGGUGGGGAUGACGUCAAAUCAUCAUGCCCCUUAUGUCCAGGGCUUCACACAUGCUACAAUGGUCGGUACAACGCGUGUGCGACACUGUGAGGUGAAGCUAAUCGCUCUAAAGCCGGUCGUAGUUCGGAUUGGGGUCUGCAACUCGACCCCAUGAAGUCGGAGUCGCUAGUAAUCGCAGAUCAGCAACGCUGCGGUGAAUACGUUCCCGGGCCUU
rnacentral:rRNA from 1 species